AGCCUUCUGUAUUCGUGCUGAGAUUUCGUCACACACCAGACCACAAGGGCUGAU
rnacentral:pre_miRNA from 1 species